GUCAGUCCACCAGCCUCUGUUUCAGGAGGAAACCUCGAGCCCCAAAGACAAAGUGCCUGAGGUAAUCCAUUCCGGGGCUCCCUUGGAUGCUGAUCUACCUGUUUCUGGGCACCAGCACGAAGAGCCUGAUGCCGAGGUGGCCCACCUGGAGGAGAACUUCUCCCAGAACGGGUCGCUGCCCCAGACGCCGGAGCCGGAGAGAUACCUCAAGAACCACUUUGAAACUGGCUGGCGACCCCCUUGAAGGUAAACAGGCAGCGGUCUCUGCCAGGCGCAAGAAACCAGGCUGGGGAUGGAGUUCCAAAGCACCACCAGCGCAUUUCAUGCAGCCUGGACUCAGGAAUUCAACCUAAUUUAGGGUCAAGGCUGGUAAUUGGAACCAUAGAAGAGUUUAAAGAUUCUAGAUUUUAACUUAGAUGCUCCUAGACUAGGUAACAUCAUCAGCAAACUCCACUCCCUAUGGGCACUGAUGGUGUUGCCUAGUAGGGUCUUCAAGAAAACCACCCAACUCAGAGAGCACCAAGGACCCCAGAGUUCUCUUCCUCCUCCUCCUUCCCACAAAUCCCACUGUCUUCUACCCCUGAUGAUGUUCCCUAGAUGGGUCAUGAAAUGUUUUCAGGAAAACCACCAAGCGGAGAGAGCGCCAAGGAGCCCACAAAUCAGCCCCGAGCUACCAAAGUUGCCUUCUAUUGGCACUUGGACAAAUUCUCUGCCUUCCUUUUUGUGCACAGAAACGUUUGACGGUUGCAUCAGAGACUGGCAGUCGUUUGGGGAGAGUGAGGACGGAGGGAGCCCGCUUCUGAAUCCUCGCCUGAGCAUCUCCGCCAGGUUUCUCUCGCGCGCUCAGAAGAACUGCAGGUUGGCUGCUUCUGCUCACGCUGGCUCUCCAUUUGUGGGGGCGCUUCGCCUGGAAACCGGCUCUGAGGUGCUUCUCUUCCCUACAGAUUUGCGGCUGCAUUUUUCCCAAGAGUCUGCCCGCUGGUGCAGGCAGCCACUGCCGAACACCUCUCAGAGGAGUGCGUACCACUCAGCGAUUUCACAAAACUCAAGGCAAAUCUUAAACCUCCCCCAGAAACCCACCCUGAGGUGA
rnacentral:lncRNA from 1 species